rnacentral:rRNA from 1 species
GGGGAAUUUUGGACAAUGGGCGAAAGCCUGAUCCAGCCAUGCCGCGUGCAGGAUGAAGGCCUUCGGGUUGUAAACUGCUUUUGUACGGAACGAAAAGACUCUGGUUAAUACCUGGGGUCCAUGACGGUACCGUAAGAAUAAGCACCGGCUAACUACGUGCCAGCAGCCGCGGUAAUACGUAGGGUGCAAGCGUUAAUCGGAAUUACUGGGCGUAAAGCGUGCGCAGGCGGUUAUAUAAGACAGAUGUGAAAUCCCCGGGCUCAACCUGGGAACUGCAUUUGUGACUGUAUAGCUAGAGUACGGUAGAGGGGGAUGGAAUUCCGCGUGUAGCAGUGAAAUGCGUAGAUAUGCGGAGGAACACCGAUGGCGAAGGCAAUCCCCUGGACCUGUACUGACGCUCAUGCACGAAAGCGUGGGGAGCAAACAGGAUUAGAUACCCUGGUAGUCCACGCCCUAAACGAUGUCAACUGGUUGUUGGGUCUUCACUGACUCAGUAACGAAGCUAACGCGUGAAGUUGACCGCCUGGGGAGUACGGCCGCAAGGUUGAAACUCAAAGGAA